GGUCGACCAGAAACGUGGUGUGGAUUACUUGCAUAUUGACUUUUGGUUGUUUACGCCAGGUAGAGGACGUGCUCGAGGAUUCUACUUCAGUUUGGUUGCGAGGUGCCAUUAUGUGAAACCGAAACCAAAACCGAGGAGUUUUCAAUGGUCGUAAAAAUGGAGCAAGACCAUCGUUGCUAGGAUCAACAUGUUUGGCGAUGAAAUUACUAUACCGUAGCAGUUCAUAGCAUGUCGCAGAAAUACGAUUGCCUAAUUAACAGUUAAAAGAGGGUCAAAAUCCGAAUAAGUAGUUCAUAAAUUGUGCUCACAAUUUCACAAAAACGCACACAAACUAGCAUUUCCUUCAAACGUUUAUUUGAAUUUUAAU